ensembl:lncRNA
CUCCUCCUACUGCUCCCUGGAAAAGACCUAAAAUAUGGAGCAAAUAUCAAGCAGAAAUCUCAAGGAGAUGGCUCUAGGAUAGAGAGGGUCUUCUUUUCAAUGUUUAAUAGUUGUUGACUCUAUCCCAGGCAGUCUGCCUUACAUAAAUGAUCUAUUGUGAUGCUUCUUACUGGCAUGGAAGAGGAUAUUGUUAUUUUCAUCUUUUAAUUUUUUUUCUGUAGACCAUUCUUAAGUCUUUAAUUUGUUUCAAUAUUGUUAAUGUUUCAUGUUUUGGUUUUUUGGUCACAAGGCAUGUGGAAUCCUAGUUCCUCAACCAGGGAUGAAACCUGCAACCCUAGGAUUGGAAGGUGAAGUCUUAACCACUGGACUCCCAGGGAAGUCUCUGUUAUUUCCAUCUCACAGUUGAGAAAACCAAGAUUCAGAAAAGUUAAGUGAUGCAGAAUCUCAGCUCAAUACACACUUCCAAUUCUUGGCUCAGAUAUUUAUUUCAUAACCAGUAAAAUGUAGCAAAAUAUGUAUCUCUAUUUCAAUAGGACCGGAAGAAAUAUGAGUGAAAACAAUGAAGAAUUCAACCUCAACCUUAUUACAGAUGCUCAAAAUUUCGAACUCCCACGCCAGAGAGGUGGUCAGAAACCAAUGGGCGCAGUGUGGAUCAGUCAGGAUGAUUUUAUGGAAUUGUGUCAAAGGAGGCCCUUGGCUUCGCACAUCAAGAUCUGAUCUGGUUCACAGCUCUUUCUAAGUCUGAGGAUGCACUGUUCACACCGAGGAGAACUUACUCUCAGUGGAUGUGGAAACAACCUCUUCUCCAACUCAAGUACCCUUUCAAGAGUCCGCCUUCCUCACCUAGCCUGCAGAUGGGUAAGGUUUAGACAGGAAACCUGGCUGGUCAUUUGAAAUAAAG